UUCGGACUGCAGGCUGCAACCCGCCUGCACGAAGCCGGAGUUGCUAGUAAUCGCGAAUCAGAAUGUCGCGGUGAAUGCGUUCCCGGGUCUUGUACACACCGCCCGUCACACCAUGGAAGUUGGGGGUGCCCAAAGCCGGCAAGCAAAUAUGCUGUCUAAGGCAAAACCAAUGACUGGGGUGAAGUCGUAACAAGGUAUC
rnacentral:rRNA from 1 species